rnacentral:rRNA from 1 species
UACGGAGGAUCCGAGCGUUAUCCGGAAUUAUUGGGUUUAAAGGGUGCGUAGGCGGCCAUUUAAGUCAGCGGUGAAAUUUUGCAGCUUAACUGUAACAGUACCGUUGAUACUGUUUGGCUAGGAUUUGGUUGUAGUGUGCGGAAUGUGUGGUGUAGCGGUGAAAUGCUUAGAUAUCACACAGAAUAUCAAUUGCGAAGGCAGCUCACAAAGCCAAGAUUGACGCUGAGGCACGAAAGUGUGGGGAUCAAACAGGAUUAGA